rnacentral:rRNA from 1 species
UACGGAGGGAGCUAGCGUUGUUCGGAAUUACUGGGCGUAAAGGGCUCGUAGGCGGCCAACUAAGUCAGACGUGAAAUCCCCAGGCUUAACCUGGGAACUGCGUCUGAUACUGGAUGGCUUGAAUUCGGGAGAGGGAUGCAGAAUUCCAGGUGUAGCGGUGAAAUGCGUAGAUAUCUGGAGGAAUACCGGUGGCGAAGGCGGCAUCCUGGACCGAGAUUGACGCUGAUGAGCGAAAGCUAGGGGAGCAAACGGG